rnacentral:rRNA from 4 species
GGGUGAGUAACACGUGAGUAACCUGCCCCUGACUCUGGGAUAAGCGUUGGAAACGACGUCUAAUACUGGAUAUGAUCACUGGCCGCAUGGUCUGGUGGUGGAAAGAUUUUUUGGUUGGGGAUGGACUCGCGGCCUAUCAGCUUGUUGGUGAGGUAAUGGCUCACCAAGGCGACGACGGGUAGCCGGCCUGAGAGGGUGACCGGCCACACUGGGACUGAGACACGGCCCAGACUCCUACGGGAGGCAGCAGUGGGGAAUAUUGCACAAUGGGCGAAAGCCUGAUGCAGCAACGCCGCGUGAGGGAUGACGGCCUUCGGGUUGUAAACCUCUUUUAGUAGGGAAGAAGCGAAAGUGACGGUACCUGCAGAAAAAGCACCGGCUAACUACGUGCCAGCAGCCGCGGUAAUACGUAGGGUGCAAGCGUUGUCCGGAAUUAUUGGGCGUAAAGAGCUCGUAGGCGGUUUGUCGCGUCUGCUGUGAAAUCCCGAGGCUCAACCUCGGGCUUGCAGUGGGUACGGGCAGACUAGAGUGCGGUAGGGGAGAUUGGAAUUCCUGGUGUAGCGGUGGAAUGCGCAGAUAUCAGGAGGAACACCGAUGGCGAAGGCAGAUCUCUGGGCCGUAACUGACGCUGAGGAGCGAAAGCAUGGGGAGCGAACAGGAUUAGAUACCCUGGUAGUCCAUGCCGUAAACGUUGGGCGCUAGAUGUAGGGACCUUUCCACGGUUUCUGUGUCGUAGCUAACGCAUUAAGCGCCCCGCCUGGGGAGUACGGCCGCAAGGCUAAAACUCAAAGGAAUUGACGGGGGCCCGCACAAGCGGCGGAGCAUGCGGAUUAAUUCGAUGCAACGCGAAGAACCUUACCAAGGCUUGACAUACACCGGAAACGGCCAGAGAUGGUCGCCCCCUUGUGGUCGGUGUACAGGUGGUGCAUGGUUGUCGUCAGCUCGUGUCGUGAGAUGUUGGGUUAAGUCCCGCAACGAGCGCAACCCUCGUUUUAUGUUGCCAGCGGGUUAUGCCGGGGACUCAUAGGAGACUGCCGGGGUCAACUCGGAGGAAGGUGGGGAUGACGUCAAAUCAUCAUGCCCCUUAUGUCUUGGGCUUCACGCAUGCUACAAUGGCCGGUACAAAGGGCUGCGAUACCGUAAGGUGGAGCGAAUCCCAAAAAGCCGGUCUCAGUUCGGAUUGAGGUCUGCAACUCGACCUCAUGAAGUCGGAGUCGCUAGUAAUCGCAGAUCAGCAACGCUGCGGUGAAUACGUUCCCGGGCCUUGU